rnacentral:rRNA from 1 species
UACGUAGGUGGCAAGCGUUAUCCGGAAUUAUUGGGCGUAAAGAGCGCGCAGGUGGUUAAUUAAGUAUGAUGUGAAAGCCCACGGCUUAACCGUGGAGGGUCAUUGGAAACUGGUUGACUUGAGUGCAGAAGAGGGAAGUGGAAUUCCAUGUGUAGCGGUGAAAUGCGUAGGGAUAUGGAGGAACACCAGUGGCGAAGGCGGCUUCCUGGUCUGCAACUGACACUGAGGCGCGAAAGCGUGGGGAGCAAACAGG